ACUUCCUGGGUGGGGGCCGAGCUCUGUGUGACUUCCUGGUGGCUUUGAGCAAGUCCCUUUACCUCUCUGAACCUCAGUUUCUCCACCUGUAAAAUGGGGGUCUGGGCUGCCCCCAGUCAGGGACUUUCCUUCUUCUCCUGUAAGCUUUGGGAGGUGUCGGGGAAAAGCGGUGUAGAGGCUAGUGAGGCAGCAGCUGUGGAGGGACCCCUCUUCUCACGGCCUCAGGUUCCCUCUGCUGACGUGGCGGCCCGCGGGGGCCAAGGAAACAGAAAACGUUCCCCAAAAUGGCCUUUUAAGAACAAAGUUGAACAUCUGGUGUUUCCGAGAAAUCAUCAGCAAAGGGCUCCAAGAGGCCUCUGCUGCCCCAGGUUCUGGUCACGUGAAAAGCCUCAUCUCGCCCAUCAGUCUCACUUCGCACCAGUGCUCCCAAUCAGUGCUCCCUGGGGAGUCAGAGAGGAUGGCUGGACAGCCCUGGGUCCUCCAGUUCCCCAUGGGCUUGUGCCCCGGGCGUAGGGCCUCCAUCUCCCUGAAAUUAACUGAGGCCGCAUCAGCCAGAGCACCUUGCACAGCGCCUGACACACAGCGGGUGGUCCCCACAGCAUCCCCUUCCUUCGCUCAGCACCCUCUUCCUAAUCAGCUGCCGUGGCCUCACCCACUCAUCGAGAGCAGCUGGACUCCUGCCAUGAGCUGGGCCUAUGCCAGACUCUCGGCCCAGGCUGCAGCGAAGCGAGAGCCAUUUGUCCCAUGGUGAACACUUGCCCUCCGAGCUGGACUCUGGGGACACAGUAGGGACAGAGCAGCACUGGACUCAGCUCCCGUGAGGUCCACGGCGUCCCGAGGAAGCAGACUCAAAGCCAGAGUUUCUAAAGUCUGAGCUGCUGUGGCAGGGGGCCCCCAGAGGGCUGGGGGGCGGAGCACCGGAGGUCAGGUGGCAACAUGCUUCUAGGCGACCCCCCAUCCGCCACCCGGGUCCUCAGCCUGGGGCCCGGGGGUCGCUCAUGUGC
ensembl:lncRNA